UACGUAGGGCGCAAGCGUUGUCCGGAAUUACUGGGCGUAAAGCGCGCGCAGGCGGCCCGCGAGGUGUCACGUGAAAGCCCCGGGCUCAACCCGGGAGGGUCGUGGCAAACCGGCGGGCUUGAGGCCGGUAGAGGUGGGUGGAACUCCUGGUGGAGUGGUGAAAUGCGUAGAGAUCAGGAAGAACACCCGUGGCGAAGGCGGCCCACUGGGCCGGUACUGACGCUGAGGCGCGAAGGCGUGGGGAGCGAACGGG
rnacentral:rRNA from 1 species